UCCCAGCAUGCAUCACAGUUUCCUCCCCUCUGCUCGGUAGAUAAUUGGGAAGUAAUUCAAUUAUCUCCCAGAGCAGAGGCAAAUCGCCAUUUUAACUCAAAGUUACAAAACACAUUAAAAUACAGAACUUUAUAACUGCUGAACGUAUUGCAUUCGUAUAGCACAUCCCCAGAUAGCCUGGAUCUGAGUGCAUAUUAUUGGCGAAUAGCGCUUAGAUCCCAUACGCACAGUUCAAUCGCCAUGGAGUCAAAGUCUAUUACAGUUCUUCGGUAUGCGAUUGACUCCAUGGGAAGGCUAUCUGGGUUAAGUCCAUUCGUGUCUUUAAAUCUCUCGAACGGCCGGUAUUCAUAUACUUUUGUCGAUUGAGAAGGGGAGGUCGACGGCUUCAGCAGUGUUCGGUUGAAAAAGUGUCCGUUUUUAGUUCCAUGAAAUAAUCGAGCACCGCUGGGCUUUCGCAUAGUUAAAAUGGCCGCCGCCUCGUGGUCGACAUACGAACAACGACCACCCUGUAUUCGGUUUUAAUUGAGAAGUGUCUGUGGUCAACCGCAAUGUUCUAAUUGGGAUCAAUAGGUUAACCAGCAGCCCACUUCUCUUCUGGGUGGCCGUCCGUUCGGUAGUUCCGUUCCUUCUUCUUGACUUCGGCUGAUGUUUGGGGAUUCGUGUGUUUCACUAAGGGAAUCUUCUUGUGAAGCUAUUGGGAUUACUAUAUGGUUUGUCUAUUCUAUCUACCGAACGGAGGGCUAUAAUCACUAAGGCUCUGGCGGUUCGGGAGGAAACUACAGAAUGAGGUUUAAAUAUACUUGGUUUCCUUACAAUUCCCUUUAUGUAUUUAAAUGUUUCUAUCAUAUCCCCCCUGUCUCGUCUCUCCUCCAAGCUAUACAUGUUAAGUUCCUUUAACUUUUCCUUGUAAGUUUUAACCUGCAAUCCAUGAACUCUGGUAUUGCUAUGUCCCAGUCAUUUUUCUCAUUAUACCAUGUCUCAGGAACAGCGACUAAAUCUACAUUAUCAGUUGCCAUUAUUGCCACAAGUUCCUGGACCUUAUUCCCUAAACUGUGAGCAUUUUUAGACUGGACUCUAAGCUUAUAAUUUUUAACACACUUGCUACAGGCACCUUCUGUCCUUGUUUUGGGGGACAAUUGGAUUGAUGUUUUAUCACCCUUUUGCCCCCUCCUCCUACUUUAAAUACAUCCUGGCAAAAUCUCUGAACUGCUCACUGAGAAAAUUUGUUCCCUUUUGAGAAAGAUGCAAACAAUCUUUUUUGUACAGUUCAUUUCCAUUCCAAACAGAGCUACCAUGAGAAAUGAAGCCAAAUCCUUGCUCCCGACACCAUUCACCAAGCCACAAAUUAAAGUCCCUAAUACGCAUCCGCCUGUUGUUCUGAGUGUUAUGCACAGGCAGAACUUCAGAGAAUGACAGUGUGGAAGCAACCUGCCAUAUAUCAUUGGCAAAAACACUAAAAACUUCCUUAACCUCUGAAACGUCAUUGCAAGCCAAGUCAUUUGUCCCUAGAUGGACAAGUAUAUCCAAUUCCCCUUCCUGCUUUGCUCUCUUAACAAUAUUACAAGUACGUCUCCUGUCUCUGUGAGCAGUAGCUCCGGGAAGACAUCUCACAAGACCACUAUUGUCCAGCUCCACACCGCUUAUGAUGGAAUCCCCUGACAACAACUGCUUUCUAUUAGGCCUCACCAUAGUCUCUAAGCCUGUCUCCAUAAUACCACUACACUCGGAGCCUGAGCCUAUCUCCACAACACCACUACCCUCAGAGCCUGAGUCUGUCUCCACAACACCACUACACUCAGAGCCUGAGUCUGUCUCCACAACACCACUACACUCAGUGCCCUGAGCCUGUCUCCACAACACCACUACACUCAGUGCCCUGAGCCUGUCUCCACAACACCACUACACUCGGUGCUCUGAGCCUGUCUCCACAACACCACUACACUCGGUGCCCUGAGCCUGUCUCCACAACACCACUACACUCGGUGCCCUGAACCUGUCUCCACAACACCACUACACUCAGUGCCCUGAGCCUGUCUCCACAACACCACUACACUCAGUGCCCUGAGCCUGUCUCCACAACACCGCUACACUCAGUGCCCUGAGCCUGUCUCCACAACACCGCUACACUCAGUGCCCUGAGCCUGUCUCCACAACACCGCUACACUCUGUGCCUGGGCCUGACUCCACAACACCACUACCCUCGGUGCCUGAGCCUGACUCCACAACACCACUACACUUGGUGCCUGAGCCUGUCUCCACAACACCAUUACACUCUGAAAGUGCUGUAAAUUAAUUAUUUCUGUAUUUACAUAUGAAAAUGAAGGAAAGGGACCUUAGUUGAGAAAAAGGAUAAAUGAGUUAUUUAUUACACGUGAGUUUACAGAGGAAGAGGUUCUAUUUCAACUGUCAAAAGUAAAGACAAAUAAGUCAAUGGGACCUGAUGGAAUACACCCAAAGCUAUUAAAAGAGCUUAGUGGUGUACUAGCAAAACCAUAAACAGAUUUAUUUAACCAAUCAUUGUUAACAGGAAUAGUCCCAGAAGAUUGGAAGUUAGCGAAUGUUGUGCCCAUUUACAAGAAAGGUAAUAGGGAGGAGUCGGGCAACUAUAGGCCAGUAAGCCUUACU